rnacentral:rRNA from 1 species
AUUGAACGCUGGCGGCAUGCCUUACACAUGCAAGUCGAACGGUAACGGGCCUUCGGGUGCCGACGAGUGGCGAACGGGUGAGUAAUACAUCGGAACGUGUCCGAUCGUGGGGGAUAACGAGGCGAAAGCUUUGCUAAUACCGCAUACGAUCUACGGAUGAAAGCAGGGGACCGCAAGGCCUUGCGCGGACGGAGCGGCCGAUGGCAGAUUAGGUAGUUGGUGGGAUAAAAGCUUACCAAGCCGACGAUCUGUAGCUGGUCUGAGAAGAUGAUCAGCCACACUGGGACUGAGACACGGCCCAGACUCCUACGGGAGGCAGCAGUGGGGAAUUUUGGACAAUGGGCGCAAGCCUGAUCCAGCCAUGCCGCGUGCAGGAUGAAGGCCUUCGGGUUGUAAACUGCUUUUGUACGGAACGAAAAGCCUUCUUUUAAUACAGGAGGGUCAUGACGGUACCGUAAGAAUAAGCACCGGCUAACUACGUG